AAUGCCAUGGUGUAAUGCCAUGAAUUGCUGUUCAACUGAGGUUGUAUUUACCAAAUUUUCAGACCUGAUAAGGACCAGAUGUAGAAUCCUAGAACUGAAAGAGGGUGCACUUUUUUGUCAUUUGACUGUUAAUGAUAUUCAUCUUUUUAGCCGACCAUAAUCACCCGGUGAAAUAAAGAUGAAAAAAGACUGCUUAAGAAUUGCAGGCGUCGUGCUUUAGAAUCUGCUCACUAGAACAUUUUAAAACUGAAAUGUCAGCAGAGGAUUGGACGUCUACUUGUGCCAGAGUUCAUACCGCAGACUGACACACUAUACCUGGGUAAAGUGAACAUAUGCUCCUGCCAAAUGAUAUGUGCACUAAAUGAGACUACUGCUUUUGCAGUGCAGGACAUUUUGGCAAGAGGUCAGAGCAACAUGUGAAAAUGUGAAAAUUAUUUUAAAAGAAAUUCCCCUGGACCCAAACCCUUGUACCUGGCUUAUAUCCAGCCCUUUGUAUGUGUAACUGUGAAGAAAAAUGAACCCACUGCUUUAAACGCCAAAAACCUAAAUGCAUUAUUUUGGGACAUUAAAAUCCCUAAUCCCACUGGACAAGACAAUGAAUGGCAAAUGAAAGAAUAACAUAUAUUCUGAAUAACUAAUCAAAAAUAUUCAAGGAAUAUUUUUUGAAAUAUGUGGAAGAUCUGGCAGAAAAUUAGCCAUAAAAGCUGUUGUAGACCAUAAUCUGUUUUUUUCCUUCAACAAACACUUGAAUAUAUGUCACGUGCAUUCUUCCCCUACUGUAUGUUUUUAAAAGAAAAAUAGUAUUCGUGUGUGUUUUGAGUCCAGCUGGGUGUAGAAAGGGUGUGGGCCAUCACUUGACAGAGGCAAUCAGGUUGGAAAGAGAUAAGAAAAAAAAAAGUACAGUCUGGUCCACCCCAGAUGUCAUCACAGUAUGCUAAUGAGGCAGAGUGGGGUCUUUAAGUGCUGGAACCCAACAGAGGGACAAGUAAGGAGACCAGACGAUGACACACACUGAAGGCAAAGAAGUUACAAACUACGGGGACUCCCUGCUCACGGUUCUGUCUUGUGCCCUGGACAGGAUAUCAUCUUAUACUGUAAGUUUAUUAAAGAGACACUACAGUAUAGAUGAUGUACUAUCCAGGGUUUCAUUCCCCCUCCGCUGCUAUCAGCACACCAACACUUUAACUGACCGAAGCCUGAACACUCUGAGGGAGGCUGUCAAACCGUUACCAUUACUGAGUUUUAGUAAUGGUAAGGGUUCUACGGCCUUCUCUCGAUGUCAUCUAGACCGGAAGGACCAACGGGAGGAAUCGCUGGAGACUGAUGUGUCAUUCACGAGCUCCUGGCGGAUAUUUCCUUUUUUUUUUAAUAAUAGGUGCAUAUGAAAUAAAGCAGAUGGUUCUUAAAUAA